UGCCUCAGUAACGGCGAGUGAAGCGGCAACAGCUCAAAUUUGAAAUCUGGCCGCAAGGUCCGAGUUGUAAUUUGCAGAGGAUGCUUUUGGCGAGGUGCCUUCCGAGUUCCCUGGAACGGGACGCCAUAGAGGGUGAGAGCCCCGUACGGUAGGACCACCGAGCCUUUGUAAAGCUCCUUCGACGAGUCGAGUAGUUUGGGAAUGCUGCUCUAAAUGGGAGGUGUACGUCUUCUAAAGCUAAAUACCGGCCAGAGACCGAUAGCGCACAAGUAGAGUGAUCGAAAGAUGAAAAGCACUUUGAAAAGAGGGUUAAAAAGUACGUGAAAUUGUUGAAAGGGAAGCAUUCAUGACCAGACUUGGGCUUGGUUGAACAUCCGGCGUUCUCGCCGGUGCACUCUGCCAGUCCAGGCCAGCAUCAGUUUGCCCCGGGGGACAAAGGCGGUGGGAAUGUGGCUCUCUCCGGGGAGUGUUAUAGCCCGCCGUGUAAUGCCCUGGGGCGGACUGAGGAACGCGCUUCGGCUCGGAUGCUGGCGUAAUGGUCAUCAAUGACCCGUCUUGAAACACGGACCAAGGAGUCGUCUUCGUAUGCGAGUGUUCGGGUGUCAAACCCCUACGCGAAAUGAAAGUGAACGUAG
rnacentral:rRNA from 1 species